UUCAGACCGUAAACGAUGCCAUCUGGCGAUCCAUGGGUGUUAUAUAUGACUCCAUGGGCAGCCACCGGGAAACCUUUAAGUUGGGUUCCGGGGGAAGUAUGGUUGCAAAGCUGAAACUUAAAGGAAUUGACGGAAGGGCACCACCAGGAGUGGAGCCUGCGGCUUAAUUUGACUCAACACGGGGAAACUCACCCGGCCCGGACACUGUAAGGAUUGACAGAUUGAUAGCUCUUUCUUGAUUCGGUGGGUGGUGGUGCAUGGCCGUUCUUAGUUGGUGGAGCGAUUUGUCUGGUUUAUUCCGAUAACGAACGAGACUCUAGCCUACUAAAUAGACAACACUUUCUUUGAGUGUUGCGCUUCUUAGAGGGACAAGCGACGUUUAGUCGCACGAGAUUGAGCAAUAACAGGUCUGUGAUGCCCUUAGAUGUUCGGGGCUGCACGCGCGCUACACUGAAAGCAUCAACAUGCAUAUCAACCUACCUCGGAAGAGGCGGGUAACCCUUUGAAACGCUUUCGUGAUUGGGAUUGUGAAUUGCAAUUAUUUCACAUGAACGAGGAAUUCCCAGUAAGUCCGAGUCAUCAGCUCGGGUUG
rnacentral:rRNA from 1 species